rnacentral:snRNA from 1 species
GUGGCUUCUGGGCCUUUUGGCUAAGAUCAAGCUAUUUGUUCUUAGCAGUUUAAUCUCUGAUAUGUCCCUUGGUCUCACUGUUCGUGGGUUCGAGCCCCGCGUGGGACUCUCU